rnacentral:rRNA from 1 species
AACGAACGCUGGCGGCGCGCCUAAUACAUGCAAGUCGAGCGAGAAAGUGUAGCAAUACACUUGUAAAGCGGCGAACGGGUGAGGAAUACAUGGGUAAUCUACCAUCGAGUGGGGAAUAACCAACCGAAAGGUUGGCUAAUACCGCGUACGCCUCCGAGUCUUCGGGUUCGGAGGGAAAGCUGCACUGUGAGUGUAGCGCUCUUUGAUGAGCUCAUGUCCUAUCAGCUUGUUGGUAGGGUAAUGGCCUACCAAGGCUUUGACGGGUAGCUGGUCUGAGAGGACGAUCAGCCACACUGGCACUGCGACACGGGCCAGACUCCUACGGGAGGCAGCAGUAAGGAAUAUUGCGCAAUGGGCGAAAGCCUGACGCAGCGACGCCGCGUGGGGGAUGAAGGUCUUCGGAUUGUAAACCCCUUUCGGGAGGGAAGAUGGAGCGAGCAAUCGUUCGGACGGUACCUCCAGAAGCAGCCACGGCCAACUUCGUGCCAGCA